rnacentral:rRNA from 1 species
AGCAGCUGCGGUAAUUCCAGCUCCAAUAGCGUAUAUUAAAGUUGUUGCAGUUAAAAAGCUCGUAGUUGAAUUUCGGGAUCAGUACGCUGGUCGUGCCUUGGUAUGUACUGGUGUUACUGGUUCCUACCUUCUGACGAACCGUCAUGUCAUUAAUUUGGUGCGGCGGGAAAUCAGGACUGUUACUUUGAAAAAAUUAGAGUGUUUAAAGCAGGCUCGCGCUUGAAUAUAUUAGCAUGGAAUAAUGAAAUAGGACGUUCGAUCCUAUUUUGUUGGUUUCUAGGAUUGACGUAAUGAUUAAUAGGGAUAGUUGGGGGCAUUAGUAUUCAAUUGUCAGAGGUGAAAUUCUUGGAUUUAUUGAAGACUAACUACUGCGAAAGCAUUUGCCUAGGAUGUUUUCAUU